GCAUUAAUGGGGUAGUGGUAACCUGGGUCGUUGCCAGAAAGAACUUGGUAAUCGUUGAGUUCGACCCGCCGGGGGUUCGAUUCCCUCUUAAUGCA